rnacentral:rRNA from 1 species
UACGAAGGGGGCUAGCGUUGCUCGGAAUCACUGGGCGUAAAGGGUGCGUAGGCGGGUCUUUAAGUCAGGGGUGAAAUCCUGGAGCUCAACUCCAGAACUGCCUUUGAUACUGAGGAUCUUGAGUACGGGAGAGGUGAGUGGAACUGCGAGUGUAGAGGUGAAAUUCGUAGAUAUUCGCAAGAACACCAGUGGCGAAGGCGGCUCACUGGCCCGUUACUGACGCUGAGGUGCGAAAGCGUGGGGAGCAAACAGG